GUUGUAACCUAAAACAUAAUGCCAAUGUAAAUUCCAUCACAUCUAAGCAGCUGUCAAGCACUCUGAAGUCUGAGAUAUUCAACUGAUAUAAUUCUAUGAAAUUCAAAGUGUAAUGGCACAGAAGAAAACGCCUGAAGGGAAGAAAGCAUGGCAGAGGGAGACAUCAAGUUUAAAGAAAUUUGAUCAGAAAAGAAGUGGUAAGAAAAUAGAGAAAACAAUUAGUGAAAUAAACAAUAAAGUGAUCAAGGGCAUAAGGAAGACUAGAGCAAAUGUUACUUCUAUCCUAUUUCUACCUCUCUGUCUAUCCCUGUCCCUGCCCCUGCCCCUGCCUCUCCUUAGUGUCAUAACAGUAACUCAAGCAGUCUAUGGAAAUUAUACUGAUAUUUCAAGCUCAUAAUGCUUACAAAGUGUCACAAUUCGAGUAUAUUAGAAUUAAAGUCUAUACCCCAGUCUUCAGAACCCUUAUUUCAGAAUAUACUCUUUUGUAGACAAUGGGGCCAAUAACUACUUAAUUAAUGUUGGUUAUUCAUUAGUGACCUUUAGUUGACAAAUGAGUCAAUCCACUAUAGUAAUCAGUCAGAGCCAGAGUCAGAAUUAGAUUUUCCUUUUGAAUAUAAAUUUUAAAUAAGGUAAUGUUCCUGUGCUCUAGGUCAGAUUGAGGUCAG
rnacentral:lncRNA from 1 species